rnacentral:rRNA from 1 species
UGAGGAAUCUUCCACAAUGGGCGAAAGCCUGAUGGAGCAACGCCGCGUGAAGGAUGAAGGUCUUCGGAUUGUAAACUUCUUUUAUGAGUGAAGAAUAUGACGGUAACUCAUGAAUAAGCACCGGCUAACUACGUGCCAGCAGCCGCGGUCAUACGUAGGGUGCAAGCAUUAUCCGGAGUGACUGGGCGUAAAGAGUUGCGUAGGUGGUUUAUUAAGUGAAUAGUGAAAGCUGGAGGCUCAACCUUACAGACUAUUAUUCAAACUGGUAAACUCGAGAAUGGUAGAGGUAACUGGAAUUUCUUGUGUAGGAGUGAAAUCCGUAGAUAUAAGAAGGAACACCAAUGGCGUAGGCAGGUUACUGGACCAUUUCUGACACUAAGGCACGAAAGCGUGGGGAGCGAACC